UAACGGCGAGUGAAGCGGUAACAGCUCAAAUUUGAAAGCUAGCUCUUUUAGGGUUCGCAUUGUAAUUUGUAGAAGAUGCUUCGGGUGUGGCCCCGGUCUAAGUUCCUUGGAACAGGACGUCAUAGAGGGUGAGAAUCCCGUAUGUGACUGGGUGCUUUCGCUCAUGUGAAGCUCUUUCGACGAGUCGAGUUGUUUGGGAAUGCAGCUCAAAAUGGGUGGUAAAUUUCAUCUAAAGCUAAAUAUUGGCCAGAGACCGAUAGCGCACAAGUAGAGUGAUCGAAAGAUGAAAAGCACUUUGGAAAGAGAGUUAAACAGUACGUGAAAUUGUUGAAAGGGAAGCGCUUGCAACCAGACUUGCGCGCUGAUGAUCAUCCGGGCUUCUGCCCGGUGCACUCGUCUGCGCUCAGGCCAGCAUCGGUUUCGGUGGUGGGAUAAAGGCCUUGGGAAUGUAGCUUCUUUCGGGGAGUGUUAUAGCCCUCGGUGCAAUGCCGCCUACCGGGACCGAGGACCGCGCUUCGGCUAGGAUGCUGGCGUAAUGGUUGUAAGCGACCCGUCUUGAAACACGGACCAAGGAGUCUAACAUCUAUGCGAGUGUUUGGGUGUCAAACCCAUACGCGUAAUGAAAGUGAACGGAGGUGAGAACCCUUAAGGGUGCAUCAUCGACCGAUCCUGAUGUCUUCGGAUGGAUUUGAGUAAGAGCAUAGCUGUUGGGACCCGAAAGAUGGUGAACUAUGCGUGAAUAGGGUGAAGCCAGAGGAAACUCUGGUGGAGGCUCGCAGCGGUUCUGACGUGCAAAUCGAUCGUCAAAUUUGCGUAUAGGGG
rnacentral:rRNA from 1 species